GCCGGGCAUGGUGGUGCACGCCUGUAAUCCCAGCUACUCAGGAGGCUGAGACAGGAGAAUUGCUUGAACCCAGGAGGCGGAAGCUGCAGUGAGCCGAGAUCUGGCCACUGCACUCCAGCCUGGGUAAUAGAGCAAGGCUCCGUCUCAA
rnacentral:SRP_RNA from 1 species